rnacentral:misc_RNA from 1 species
UCAACAAUCUCUCUGUCAUUGCUUUUUUUAUCUUAUGAUCCUUUGACUAGCGAACUUGUUUUCUCUUAUCCUUCUAUUCUUUCUCGCCUCUUCCAAUCCCUAUUUUUAAGCAUCCGAUUCAGAUCCCUCGGAUCGGAUCCCAAUGGCGGCAUCGCGGCGGCUCCGGGACCUCCAAUCGCAACCGGGGAACAAGAUCUGUGUCGAUUGUUCCCAGAAAAAUCCGCAAUGGGCGUCUGUUUCCUACGGCAUCUUCAUGUGUCUAGAGUGCUCCGGCAAGCAUCGUGGCCUCGGUGUUCACAUAUCCUUCGUCCGAUCCGUCACUAUGGACUCAUGGUCUGAGAUCCAGAUUAAGAAAAUGGAAGCUGGAGGUAAUGAAAGGCUUAACGCGUUUUUAGCUCAGUAUGGAAUCCCUAAAGAGACUGAUAUCGUCGCUAAAUACAAUACUAACGCCGCUAGCGUCUAUCGGGAUCGAAUCCAGGCCCUCGCCGAGGGUCGACCUUGGCGGGAUCCACCGGUGGUUAAGGAAACCAUUGGUAGCAAGAAAAAACCCCCGCUGGCUCAACCUGGUGGUAGCAGAGAAAAUAAUUAUUCUAAUAAUGGAGGAUGGGAUAGUUGGGACAAUGAUGAUUCGUUUAGAUCUUCAAAUGAUAUGAGAAGGAACCAGUCGGUUAGCGAUUUUCGGGGUAAUAGCGGCGCUGGUGGUGGAAUGGGAGGCGUCCCUGUGAGGUCGAGAUCGACUGAGGAUAUUUAUACCAGAUCGCAAUUGGAGGCCUCUGCGGCUAAUAAGGAGAGUUUUUUUGCCAGAAAAAUGGCAGAGAAUGAGUCGCGUCCUGAAGGCUUGCCGCCAUCGCAAGGGGGGAGGUAUGUGGGAUUUGGGUCGAGUCCGGCGCCUUCGCAGAGGAAUAAUAAUUCCCAACCAGAUGUUCUCUCGGCUAUGUCUCAGGGUUUAGGUAGGUUAUCUCAUGUUGCUGCAUCUGCGGCUCAAUCAGCUGCGAAUGUUGUCCAAGCUGGCACAAA